rnacentral:rRNA from 1 species
GUGCCAGACUCCUACGGGAGGCAGCAGUGGGGGAUAUUGCACAAUGGGGGGAACCCUGAUGCAGCGACGCCGCGUGGGUGAAGAAGCGCCUCGGCGCGUAAAGCCCUGUCAGCAGGGAAGAAAAUGACGGUACCUGAAGAAGAAGCCCCGGCUAACUACGUGCCAGCAGCCGCGGUAAUACGUAGGGGGCAAGCGUUAUCCGGAUUUACUGGGUGUAAAGGGAGCGUAGACGGCGAUGCAAGCCAGAUGUGAAAGCCCGGGGCUCAACCCCGGGACUGCAUUUGGAACUGUGUGGCUGGAGUGUCGGAGAGGCAGGCGGAAUUCCUAGUGUAGCGGUGAAAUGCGUAGAUAUUAGGAGGAACACCAGUGGCGAAGGCGGCUUACUGGACGGCAACUGACGCUGAGGCUCGAAAGCGUGGGGAGCAAACAGGAUUAGAUACCCCGGUA